CGGAAGACGGGCGGCGCGUGGCGGAAGGCAGGCUUGCUCCUCGGGGUGGGGGAGGGUAUCCGGCUUAACGGGGCUGCGGUGGACGCCACUUCUUAAUGUCGGGGGUCUUCGCGGCGCUCACCUCGGCUCCUGGGGUUCGGGACGGUACGCAGCAGACACCUUCGCGCCGAAGGCGGUAGGGCGCCACGGAAAGGAACCGCUGUAGGCACGUAAGGCCUCGUGAGGUUGCGUCGCGCGCGGAGCCCUCUGGGACUUGUAGUUCUGGAGAUGGAGCGAGCUGUGCCGCUCGUGGUGCCUCUGGGUCAGACAGAGGUGUUCCAGGCCUUGCAGCGGCUCCAUAUGACCAUCUUCUCCCAGAGCGUCUCACCAUGUGGGAAGUUUCUGGCGGCUGGCAACAAUUAUGGGCAGAUUGCCAUCUUCAGCUUGUCUGCUGCUUUGAGCUCAGAAGCCAAAGAGGAAAGUAAGAAACCGGUGGUGACUUUCCAAGGUGGGUAUAGCUGUGGAGUCUGGCUUCAGGACUUUGGGUGGGAUUGGCUCACUCAGUUCUGCAUUUCUCUUUAGCCCAUGAUGGGCCUGUCUAUAGCAUGGUUUCCACCGAUCGACAUCUGCUUAGUGCUGGGGAUGGGGAGGUGAAGGCCUGGCUUUGGGCGGAGAUGCUCAAGAAGGUAAGGAGUCGAGCUUGGGAAAGGGCUUGGGUGCCUGGACCCAGAGAGAGCCUUUGAGGUCACCUGGUAUUUUCCCUUUUGAAGGGCUGUAAGGAGCUGUGGCGUCGUCAGCCUCCAUACAGGUGAGCCAGGGCCACGUGGAUAGAGGGUGCAUCAGGGUGAAGCCACUUCCUCACUGACCUUGCCUUUCCUUCCCCAGGACCAGCCUGGAAGUGCCCGAGAUCAAUGCUUUGCUGCUGGUCCCCAAGGAGAAUUCCCUCAUCCUGGCUGGGGG
rnacentral:sRNA from 1 species